rnacentral:snoRNA from 1 species
ACUUAAUGAUUUGGGCAUUGAGCUAGCUUACCAUUAAACCUCUCCCAAGCUUUAAAUAAUGACUCUUCAUUUAUUUAUCAAAAAUUCACAAUCUCAUCCCGUUUUAAAGU